CCCGCGGCCUCCUCCGGGAGAGGGUGGGGGCGAGGUAGGGAGCUUGGGCCUUGUCUGACCCCUCAAGUCCACCCUGGUGGAAAAAGGGCCUCGCGGCGAGCCUCACCGUGCCCAGCAGGGGACUGCGGCGGGCACGACACAACAAUCACGGUUUUUCCCGUGGUUUCCCGAGUGGCUGCGGUCAUUUCUUUGGGUUUACCUUCCAUUUCAAAAUUGUGUAUAUCGAGUUCGGGAAACCUUUUUCUCUCUCAAGGAGUCACAACAUAAAAUCAAAUCUGGGCUCACUCACUUGUGAUUACUUCCACUGCCCGUGGUAUCUGGUGGUCUCCUUCUGCCUCCUCCUACUGACGCUUCUUCUUGGGCAAGAACUAAGACAACUCCAGAUGGAGACGUGAGGCCCGAGAGGCCACCCCAGCCCACUUUCUCCAUCGAGCUCGGUGAGGACGGUGCCGCACUGCUCUACCUCGGGCUGGUACUCAGAGCGGGGCAGUUGGCUGGGUUUGCCUGGAAGCGAUGAAGCAUGAGGGAGCAGCAGGCACAAACGGCCUUGGUUACUUGAGCUCCAGCCAUCAAUUCUACAUUUCGGUGAGCAGGAUGGGUUAAGGGAUUAAGAAAACAAGAGCAAUGGGAACAUGCCAGCUUCUCUUUAAGAAAAAUUUCCAGAAACUGCUCUACACCAUGAGGAAUCAACUCAUACAUCAUAUAAUUUUCAAAUGUCCCACUGGGCUCUCAUGUUGCCAAAAAAAUCCCUCUUCAUAAUUGUGUGAGCCUAGGAUCCAAAUCUUCUUACAUAAACACAAAAUGUUUUUGCAUGGCUUUAAUAUACACUGACUUUUUCUGGAAUGCUACUACUGUGCAAACUGAGGAACGAUUUUACUUUGUUUUUCUUGGAACUUUAUCAAGUUGUUCACUAUUUCAGAAAAUUGUGUCAUCAAUGGUAGCACUGCUUGUGGUGUUUAGGGCUUUGCUACAUCACAUGUCUGUCAGUGUCUGUACCUGUUCCUCUCUGUACCUGUACAGAGACAGAUCUACCUGUGUCAGCCACCUGCAGCUCUACCUGCAUUCAAAGCUGUUGCAUCCCUGCUGCAGAUGCAAACACCGGUUACUUCAUUACACCCUGUAUCACAAUACACAAUGUCUUAGUUUCAGCUAUGUCUCCUUAACUUCUCCUUGUUAUUAUUAUUAGGGCAUUUUAGAUAUUUUUAAAAAGAUAGGUUUAGGUGUCUAAGUUUGGAUCCUCAGGGUCAGAUUCAGAGGAAAGAUUCUAGGGCAGAUAAUUUAUCUGGGAGGUGAUCUCAGGAAGUAACAGGAGGAGGAAAUUGAGACAGGUAGGGGAAGAAAACCAGUAAAACGUGUGUAAUCGAGCAAGUGAACACUGUGGGAAACUGGAGCUAAUCCUAUGGGGGAACGAGGGACAGCAGGGAGAGGGUGUUCCAAUACCAGUGCUGUCAGUCAUUGGUUGAGAACUGUUUCCAGAGUGUUCAUUCCCCCGGCCCCUCCAGCCUGCUGCAUGCUUGCCUUCAGGCGGCAGGUGCAGGUGCUGGCAGUGGAAGCUGGUUCAGAGUGCCCCAAAAUGAUUAGGAGCAAAGUUUAUGGGCAGGGUGCUGACAGCAUUUGCUACUGCUGGACAAUAAAGUAUAAAUCAGGGCCUUUUCUUAAAGGAACAUUUCAAAAUAGUUGUUAAAAUCUGGGAAUUGAAUCUGAUACGGUUGAGAACCUCUGUCUAUAAUCUAAUCAGAGUGUUAAGGUUGAGCCUGGAAGGCUAGCUAGAAAAAACAAAAUGAAAACCAGGUCAUUAUUAUUUUGUCUCUAAAUUCUAAGGCAGUGAUAAGUCACACAAAAAACUGUUACAAAAUUUUAGACAAUUGAGAAAAGGAAAUGUAUCAAAUGAGGAAAGUAAAUUGGGGUGCAUUCUAAUAAUGAAAAGGAGACAUUUUUGCCACCUGUUUUCAGGUAUUGUAGGCUUGGAAAACACUUUCCAGAUGGCAUGUAUACUGGUGAGCACUUUUAUUUUGGUAAUAAAUAAUGUAACAGAAAAAUCCUAAGUGUUUGAUCCCACUGCCCAAAUAUCUUAAUCUUUGCUUAUUCUCCUCCAAUCUAAACACAACUAUAUUUUUAUAACAUAGAUAAAAUUAUAAUACAAUAAUCCUGUAAAAUUCAGAAGCACAGGAGAAAUUUGAACAUGACUAGGAUAUUAGAUUAUGAAUUAUUAAUUUUGUUAGAUGCAUCCCUGAUGGCAUCAUGGUUACAAAAAAAAAGAACUCGUUAUCUGGUAUUGAUACAAUCUGAUAUAUUUAUGGAAAAAAAUUAUCUGUCUGAAGUUGGUUUUAAUAUUCACAAAACAAAUGAAAGUAUGAGGCGUAGGUGAACAAGAUCAACACAGUGUUGGUCCUUGUUGAUGUGGGGCGAUGGAUGCAAGGAGGUUCAUCAUAUUAUUCUACCCACUUUUGUGUAUGUUUGAAAAU